rnacentral:rRNA from 1 species
UCCCAAGGGUUGGGCUGUUCGCCCAUUAAAGUGGCACGCGAGCUGGGUUCAGAACGUCGUGAGACAGUUCGGUCCCUAUCUGUUGUGGGCGUUGGAAAUUUGAGAGGGCCUGACACUAGUACGAGAGGACCGUGUUGGACAAACCUCUAGUGUACCUGUUGUGGCGCCAGCUGCAUCGCAGGGUAGCUACGUUUGGAAGAGAUAAGUACUGAAAGCAUCUAAGUACGAAGCUCGCCUCAAGAUGAGAUUUCCUUUAAGGGUCGUUAAAGACUAUGACGUUGAUAGGUUGCAAGUGUAAAGGCAGUGAUGUCAAAGCUGAGCAAUACUAAUUACCCGAACGCUUUUCAAUA